rfam:Deltaproteobacteria bacterium 13_1_40CM_4_68_19 13_1_40cm_4_scaffold_6442, whole genome shotgun sequence.
GGGCCCGUAGCUCAACGGAUAGAGCAGCCGGCUCAUAACCGGUCGCAUGCAGGUUCGACUCCUGCCGGGCCCA